UGUUGAGCUUGACUCUAGUCUGACGUUGUGAAAUGACUUGUGAGGUGUAGCAUAGGUGGGAGGCUUUUGCCGAUCUUGAAAUACCACUACUUGCAAUGUUGUUUUACUUAUUCCGUGACGUACAGCCCCCCGGCAGCGAUGUCGGGGGUUCUAGCUGCAAGGCGGGGCCACCCGUUGAUGUACGCGGAAGACAUAGUCAGGUGGGGAGUUUGGCUGGGCGGCACAACUGUUAAACAA
rnacentral:rRNA from 1 species